GCGGCCAGAGCGGCGGUCUCCAAAACCGUAUGUCGCAGGUUCGAUUCCUGCCGCCCCUG
rnacentral:tRNA from 1 species